rnacentral:rRNA from 1 species
AGGAUGAACGCUGGCGGCGUGCCUAACACAUGCAAGUCGAACGUCCUGUCUCGCAAGAGGCAGGGAGUGGCGGACGGGUGAGUACCACGUGGGUUAUCUACCGUGAGGUGAGGAAUACCGGCGAGAAAUCGCCGACAAGACCGCAUAGCCUCGGUGCAAGCCGAGGAAAGCUUUCUCGAGAGAGGGAGCGCCACACGAGGAGCCUGCGCCCGAUUAGCUAGCUGGUGGAGUAACGGUUCACCAGGGCGACGAUCGGUAGCUGGUCUGAGAGGACGAUCAGCCACACUGGGAUUGAGAACGGCCCAGACUCCUACGGGGGGCAGCAGUGAGGAAUUUUCGUCAAUGGGGGCAACCCUGAACGAGCAACGCCGCGUGCAGGAAGAAGGUUUUCGGAUCGUAAACUGCUUUUCUCGGGGAAGAGAACGGACGGUACCCGAGGAAUCAGCCCGGCUAACUACGUGCCAGCAGCCGCGGUAA